rnacentral:rRNA from 1 species
UCUGCUCAAUGAAUUUUAUAUAGCCGCAAUUUUAUUGUGCUAAGGUAGCAUAAUCACUUGUCUUUUAAUUAAAGACUAGAAUGAAAGAUUUAACAUUUAAAUUAUUAUUUCUAAUUUAAUUUUUUAAAUUAUUCUAAAUAUAAAAAAAUAUUUAUUAUUAAAAAAGACAACAAGACCCUAUUAAACUUUACUAAAGUUUAACUGGGGUAGUUAUUUAAUUAUUAUUUUAAUAUAAAUACUUAUAAUCUUCUAAUAUUAUUAAAUUAAAUAAGUUACUAUAGGGAUAACAGCGUAAUAAUUUUUUAAAGAUCUUAUUAAAAAAAUAAAUUACGACCUCGAUGUUGAAUUAAUUAUCCUAAUAAAUGCAAUUACUUUUAUAGAAAGUCUGUUCGACUUUUAAUCAAUUACAUGAUCUGAGUUCAAACCGGAG